rnacentral:rRNA from 1 species
UGGUGGAUGCCUUGGCGUCAAGAGGCGAUGAAGGACGUGGCACUCUGCGAUAAGCUUCGGGGAGGGGAGAGCACCCUUUGAUCCGGAGAUCUCCGAAUGGGGCAACCCACCGCUAUAGCGGUAUCGCAUGCUGAAUACAUAGGCAUGCGAGGCAAACCCGGCGAAGUGAAACAUCUCAGUAGCCGGAGGAAAGGACAUCAACCGAGACUCCGUUAGUAGUGGCGAGCGAACGCGGACCAGGCCAGUGGCUGGAUUGUAAGAACCGGAACCUUCUGGAAAGUAGGGCCAUAGCGGGUGAUAGCCCCGUACGGGUAGAAAGCAGUUCAGUCCUCGAGUAGGGCGGGACACGUGAAAUCCUGUCUGAACGUGGGGGGACCACCCUCCAAGCCUAAGUACUCCUUGACGACCGAUAGUGAACCAGUACCGUGAGGGAAAGGUGAAAAGUACCCUGAAUAAGGGGGUGAAAUAGUACCUGAAACCGUGCGCUUACAAGCGGUCGGAGCCCUUUAGUGGGGUGACGGCGUGCCUUUUGCAUAAUGAGCCUACGAGUUGUCGUUGUUGGCAAGGUUAAGGAUUUAAGGUCCGGAGCCGAAGCGAAAGCGAGUCUUAACAGGGCGCUUAGUCAGCAGUGGCAGACGCGAAACUUUGUGAUCUACCCAUGAGCAGGGUGAAGUGUAGGUAACACUACAUGGAGGCCCGAACCAGUAUACGUUGAAAAGUAUUUGGAUGACUUGUGGGUAGGGGUGAAAGGCCAAUCAAACUGAGAGAUAGCUCGUACUCCCCGAAAUGCUUUUAGGAGCAGCGUGUGGGUUUAGUUUAUUAGAGGUAGAGCUACCAAUUGGACUAGGGGGAGUCAAAUCCUACCAAAUCCAGAUGAACUCCGAAUGCUAAUAAAUAUACCACACAGUGAGGGCUUGGGUGCUAAGGUCCAAGUCCGAGAGGGAAAGAACCCAGACCUACAGCUAAGGUCCCAAAAUCUAUGCUAAGUUGAACUAAGGAGGUCCAGUUGCUUAGACAGCCAGGAUGUUGGCUUGGAAGCAGCCAUUCAUUUAAAGAGUGCGUAACAGCUCACUGGUCGAGCGACAGGGCAUCGAUAAUAAUCGGGCAUCAAGUGUAGUACCGAAGCUUAGGAUGUAUUUAUACAUGGUAGGGGAGCAUUCUCUAGGCGGCGAAGGUUUGCUGUGAGGCAUGCUGGAGCGUAGAGAAGCGCAAAUGUAGGCAUAAGUAACGAUAAUGCGGGUGAGAAACCCGCACACCGAUAGACUAAGGUUUCCCCGGCAAUGCUAAUCAGCCGGGGGUCAGUCAGGACCUAAGGCGAACCCGAAGGGGGUAGUCGAUGGCCAACGGGUUAAUAUUCCCGUACCACCUUUAUUUUCGAUGGAGUGACGGAGUAGUGAAAGCACCGCGUACUGACGGAAUAGUACGUUGAAGGGUGUAGGUAUAGAGACAGUAGGAAAAUCCGCUGACUUUGCUGAACCUGAUAGUACCACAAUGCUACGGCAGCGUGGAUAGUGUGCCUAAUCAGACUUCCAAGAAAAACUUCUAAGGUUAGGAUAAAGGUGCCUGUACCGUAAACCGACACAGGUAGUCAAGGAGAGAAUCCUGAGGUGCUCGAGUGAAUCAUGGCUAAGGAACUAGGCAAAAUGGCCCUGUAACUUCGGGAGAAGGGGCCCCUGACGUAAAACUCAGGGCGCAGUGAAAAGGCCCAGGCGACUGUUUACCAAAAACACAUGGCUUUGCGAAAUUGAAAGAUGAUGUAUAAGGCCUGACACCUGCCCGGUGCUGGAAGGUUAAGGGGGGAUGUUAGCUUCGGCGAAGCAUUGAACUGAAGCCCCAGUAAACGGCGGCCGUAACUAUAACGGUCC